AUUGAACGCUGGCGGCAGGCCUAACACAUGCAAGUCGAGCGGAUGAAGGGAGCUUGCUCCUGGAUUCAGCGGCGGACGGGUGAGUAAUGCCUAGGAAUCUGCCUGGUAGUGGGGGAUAACGUCCGGAAACGGGCGCUAAUACCGCAUACGUCCUGAGGGAGAAAGUGGGGGAUCUUCGGACCUCACGCUAUCAGAUGAGCCUAGGUCGGAUUAGCUAGUUGGUGGGGUAAAGGCCUACCAAGGCGACGAUCCGUAACUGGUCUGAGAGGAUGAUCAGUCACACUGGAACUGAGACACGGUCCCGACUCCUACGGGAGGCAGCAGUGGGGAAUAUUUGACACUGGGCGAAAGCCUGAUCCAGCCAUGCCGCGUGUGUGAAGAAGGUCUUCGGAUUGUAAAGCACUUUAAGUUGGGAGGAAGGGCAGUAAGUUAAUACCUUGCUGUUUUGACGUUACCAACAGAAUAAGCACCGGCUAACUUCGUG
rnacentral:rRNA from 1 species